CAGUCGCCGCGGUAAUACGUAGGGUGCAAGCGUUAAUCGGAAUUACUGGGCGUAAAGCGCACGCAGGCGGUCUGACAAGUCGGAUGUGAAAUCCCCGGGCUUAACCUGGGAACUGCAUUUGAAACUGUCAGGCUGGAGUCUUGUAGAGGGGGGUAGAAUUCCAGGUGUAGCGGUGAAAUGCGUAGAGAUCUGGAGGAAUACCGGUGGCGAAGGCGGCCCCCUGGACAAAGACUGACGCUCAGGUGCGAAAGCGUGGGGAGCAAACAGGAUUAGAUACCCCGGUAGUCCCUGUCUCUUAUAC
rnacentral:rRNA from 1 species